UCCUUGCACUGGCUUCCAGUUGCAUUUAGAAUUGAUUUUAAAGUACUGUUACUUGUUUAUAAAUCACUCAAUGGCCUAGGACCUCAAUACAUUGCAGAUAUGCUCAUAGAAUAUAAACCUAAAAGAUCACUCAGAUCAAUAGCAUCACAUCAGUUAGAAAUACCAAGGGUUCACUCAAAGCAAGGAGAGUCUGCUUGUAACGAUCGGCCCAAUAGGUUGAUUUUACAUGAAUUAAAAGGGGGUCAGAUUAAACUGUGUGAGAGAUUUGGAGUGUUUUAAAAGAUGAGACAGACAACAGAAAUGGAUAAAUAAAGUGUAUUUACAAUAUUCACAAGGAACUUAAAACAACACAAUAAAACUAGUAUAACUUAGGCUGUUUAAAAGCGUGGAGUCUGUCUUUAAGAGUCCUAGUAGCGUGCUGAAAGUCCCAAUGCGAAAGUGUCCACCGGUGUAUAUACAAAGUCCAUGGAAGUGUUAAUCCAAGUGAAGAUGAUGUGAAGUGCUGGAAAGGUAAGUCUUUAAAAACAACUCCGCAAUCCAGCUUGUGGUCAUUUGAUUUAUGACCCAAUUUGUUUGCCAUGCUGCCUCCUUUAUGCUGGCUAACUUCCUGGUUCCUGUCAUGUGAUCAGUCACAUGACAGGCAGACCCAUACACAUUUAAAGACAUACACACAUAAAAUGUUAAGAGGAAUAAAAUGGACUAAAACACAUGUAAACCAAUUAAAACUCUAUUAUACAUAAAAUCAUUGUAAUAAAUAGAGCGGUAAAACAUGAAUUUUGUGUGACAGUGUCACAUAGUCCCCCCUCUUAGCUUACGUCACCUUGGGGAAGAAACUAGUCCUUAAAAGGUACUGUCAACCAUUGUCCUCUCGAAUGUGUCUCUUAAAAUGUCUUUGCAAUAAAUUAGAUAAAACUAGGCCCUCCCACAGAGGCACUAGUCUGCUGUAGGAAUCUAUUGGAACACUAGAGAGAGGUGGGAUCAGAUACCAGCCUGGAUGUCCUUGGGUCAGUGACGCCAUUCCUCCCAAGGUCCUGUAGCAUCCAGCAUUUUAUCCACUCAAUAUAUAUAACAUGAUGGUUUUAUGUAUAUUUGAGUUUUAACUGGGUUACAUGUUGUCUUAGCCAUUUUAUUCCUCUUACGUAUUUUAAUGUGUGUAUGUCUUUAAAUGUGUAUGGGUCUGCCUGUCAUGUGACUGAUCACAUGACAGGAACCAGGAAGUAAACCAGUAUAAAGGAGGCGGCAUGACAAACAAUCAGCCUCCCAUUACAAAUGUGAUCACAAAUCAGCUGGACUGUGGAGUUUAAUUUUAUGGACUUACCUUUCCAGCGAAUCGCAUCACUUUUCAUUGGAUUAACACUUCCGUGGACUUUGUAUAUACACCGGUGGACACUUUCACAUUGGGACCUUAUCAGCACACUAGGAUUCUUAUGGACUGUUUUAUGUCAACAAGAAGAUUGAGAAAGAAGUUGAUAACUAUGAAGCCAAGUAUCGGGGAAGAGAGCUUCCAGGAUUCAUCAAUUACAAGACCUUUGAGGGGCUUGUUAGGGAACAGAUCAAGCUGUUGGAAGAACCUGCCUU